rnacentral:rRNA from 1 species
AGCUCCAAUAGCGUAUAUUAAAGUUGUUGCAGUUAAAAAGCUCGUAGUUGGAUUUCUGGGAGCGUGCCAAUGUCCGCCCUGUGCGAGCGCAGCGGCGCGCUUCCAUCCUUCUGUUAACGCCUCUCGGCAUUCACUUGCUGGUGGCGGGCUCAGAUAUUUUACCUUGAGAAAAUUAGAGUGUUUCAGGCAGGCUAGGCCGGAAUACAUUAGCAUGGAAUAAUGGAAUAGGACUACGGUCUCUUUGUUGGUUUGAGGGACUGCAGUAAUGAUUAAUAGGGAUAGUUGGGGGCAUUAGUAUUUAAUUGUCAGAGGUGGAAUUCUCAGAUUUGUUAAAGACUAACUUAUGCGAAAGCAUUUGCCAAGGAUGUUU